AUCUUGUUCAUGGACUCGAUGUAUGCCAAGAAAGAACAAGGCUUUGGGCACAAGCCUUAUCAACACAUUUUGAGGGCUCUUGCACAGAGGAUAGCACCAGGACCUUGGCAGGAACAGACAGGGCUGGACAUUGAGGGCCUCCCACAACAACAUUUUGGUGUUGACUGUGGAAUUUUC